CCUACGGGAGGCAGCAGUGAGGAAUAUUGGUCAAUGGGCGUGAGCCUGAACCAGCCAAGUCGCGUGAGGGAUGAAUGUCCUAUGGGUUGUAAACUUCUUUUAUAAGGGAAUAAAGUGCGGGACGUGUGCCGUUUUGUAUGUACUUUAUGAAUAAGGAUCGGCUAACUCCGUGCCAGCAGCCGCGGUAAUACGGAGGAUCCAAGCGUUAUCCGGAUUUAUUGGGUUUAAAGGGAGCGUAGAUGGCCUGUUAAGUCAGUGGUGAAAGUUUGUGGCUCAACCGUAGAAUUGCAGUUGAAACUGGCAGGCUUGAGUACGGUUGAGGCAGGCGGAAUGCGUGGUGUAGCGGUGAAAUGCUUAGAUAUCACGAAGAACCCCGAUUGCGAAGGCAGCCUGCCAAGCCAUGACUGACGCUGAUGCUCGAAAGCGUGGGGAUCAAACAGGAUUAGAUACCCCAGUAGUC
rnacentral:rRNA from 1 species